rnacentral:rRNA from 1 species
UUGACCUCGAUUCGGGUGAUU